rnacentral:rRNA from 1 species
AUACGGAGGAUCCGAGCGUUAUCCGGAUUUAUUGGGUUUAAAGGGUGCGCAGGCGGCCAUUUAAGUCAGCGGUUAAAUCGUGGGGCUCAACCCCAUUCUGCCGUUGAUACUGGGUGGCUUGAUUGCGGUCGAGGUUGGCGGAAUUCGUUGUGUAGCGGUGAAAUGCAUAGAUAUGGCGAAGAACACCGAUUGCGUAGGCAGCUGACCAGACCGCAAAUGACGCUCAUGCACGAAAGUGCGGGGAUCGAACAGGAUUAGAUACCCUGGUAGUCCGCACAGUAAACGAUGAAUACUUGUUUUCGGCGAUAUAAUGUCGGAGGCAAAGCGAAAGCGAUAAGUAUUCCACCUGGGGAGUACGCCGGCAACGGUGAAACUCAAAGGAAUUGGCGGGG